ACCAUAUAGUCUAGUGGUAAAACAACCGAACUGGUAAUUGGAAGACAUGGGUUCGAUUUCCGUUGGGAA